rnacentral:rRNA from 1 species
UACGUAGGUGACCAGCGUUGUCCGGAUUUACUGGGCGUAAAGAGCGCGCAGGCGGUCGUUCAAGUCGCGUGUGAAAGCCCCCGGCUCAACUGGGGAGGGUCACGCGAUACUGAUCGACUCGAAGGCAGGAGAGGGUAGUGGAAUUCCCGGUGUAGUGGUGAAAUGCGUAGAUAUCGGGAGAAACACCAGUGGCGAAGGCGACUACCUGGCCUGUUCUUGACGCUGAGGCGCGAAAGCUAGGGGAGCAAACGGG